UUUUUUUGAGUGAAGGAAAUUCGGGGGAGAAUUUCAAUUUAAAGGGGGAGAGUGUAAUAUCCCAUAUUCCUUUAAAUGCUCAAUUAGUUAUCAGUUGGGACCAAUAGAGUAACCAAUUGACUCAGAAGAGAUCAAUCCUUAUUAAAAGAUACUGACCAUUAUUAAUUAAUACAAGAAAAAUCAUUUUGGUAACAUUAAUAAUUGGUACUAGAAGACAAAUCUCAAUUUAAGAUUUUUCCAUUUACCACCUUUUUAUUUGAAC
rnacentral:lncRNA from 1 species